GUUUUUUUGAUUGGAAUAAGAAGUUUGACCUGCCCAAUGAUUUUAAAUGGCCGCGGUAUUUUGACCGUGCGAAGGUAGCAUAAUAAAUAGUCUAUUAAUUAUAGUCUGGAAUGAAGGGUUUGACAUGGAGUGACUUUCUUAAAUUUUAUGAUGAAUUUAAACUAUCAUUAAAAAUGCUGAUGUGAAAUAGAAGGACGAGAAGACCCUAUAGAGCUUUAUAUUUUAAAUAAAUUUUGUGGUUUAGAAUUAUUUUGUUGGGGCGACAUUAAAUAUAAACAUUUAAUUAUAUUCUUAAUGAUAGGGUGAAUGAUCCAUUAUUAGUGAUUUUAGAUUAAGUUACCUUAGGGAUAACAGCGUAAUCUUUUCUUAGAGUUCAUAUCGAUGAAAAGGCUUGCGACCUCGAUGUUGGAUUAAAAUUCCUAUAAGGCGUAUUAUUUUUAUAAGGGGGUCUGUUCAACCAUUAAAGUUUUACAUGAUCU
rnacentral:rRNA from 1 species